CGGGCCCUGAACUAACAAACAUGCCCCUGUCUCUGCUUGCUGAGUGCUGAGAUAAAAGGCAUCCCAACACUCCAGCCUACUGACAAUGUCUGAGUUCCAGACUGUUCUCUGUUACCUGCCUCAUGAUCAUGGAGGAGGAAAUACCUACAAAGGGGGGCAUAGUGCAAAAGAGCUUUUUCAGCAAAAUCUCCAAGAGAUUCAGAUGCAGAUACACUGGUCUCUGCUCCUAAGUGGAAUCUCCUCCUCACACGGCCCAUUCAUGCCGAGUCACAACCCAGCCCUUACCUUGACCCAGGCCCUUCUUGUUCAGUGGCCCACUUGAGUGGUCAAGGUCUGUGGGUUCUGAUCGGCCUCUAGCUCUGCCACCCCAUCUUUCCAGGCACAUUGCAGUGCUGAGAAAGGGCAUGGAUAUCUAUCUGUAGGGGCUUAGGGAGGAGGUGCCAGUUGUCUAUGAAUACAGUGUCAAUGCUGCCACACUAAUGUUCUCUCCAAAGGACCAGGGAAGCAGACAGAAUCCUGCAUGCACGUGAAUGCACACUACAGAAAGCCAGGGCAGAAGAGAAAAGUGCUACCACAUGCCAACUCCUGGGAGAUGAGGGGCUCCAUGCCUGCUGUUUCAGGCAGUAGGACUCGCGCUUCUCGUUCAACUCUUCCAGAAGCUGCUUCCUGUUCGCUCCCUGUGUCUUCUCUUCGUUGCCCUUGUUCAUGGAUGUCAUCUUUACAACACACCAGUGGUCAGCUGAGUCUUGCCGCCCUGCCAACACAUUGAGCAUGCUUAAUAGUCUUCUGUCCAACUCAGAAGCAAACUUCACCUCAUAACCACAUCUACCAGGACUUUCUCCUUCUGCAAGACCAUGCUCCAAAAUGUGGUACAGAACCAACUCAGGGCAACAACAUCAGGAGAAAUCUCAAACACCGCAUGGCUCAGCUUUCUAAGAAUUCCGUGGAAUUCAGGAAUCAUAUCCACAAGAUCCCUGUCAGACCAGUUUGUUAAUCUUGUCGGGGAUGACGGCAGCAACCA
rnacentral:lncRNA from 1 species